rnacentral:lncRNA from 1 species
GCGGGCGCGCUGCUGUGGAGCACUUUGCGGGCCACCUUCUUUUUUUUUUUAAAAGUCAUCCUUACAAGGUUGCGGUGGUAGACGCACUACCACCCUACUGCCAAGGCAGCCUGGAUCAUAACACAGAACCUCGAUAGGGCCAGAGAUCAGAGAAGAGAAGAGAAGUUUGUUCCACCACACACCUACUGGAAACCUCAACAGCCAGGUGACACCACACACCUACUGGAGUUCUCAACAGCUAGGUGACAACUACAGCCACUGCCAUGACCACACAGAUCAUCUAGAGCUCUCCAGUUGACAGGCCCAGAGCUCCACUUGAAUCUUGGAUCUUGAACUUGAAAGCUCUCCAGUUGCAGGCCCAGAGCUCCAGCCUUGUACCCCAGAGACUCCCUGCACCACAGGGGGGGUCUACACACCACCAAGGUGUGGAUGGGUUUUGGUAAACCAGGGCCCUUCCUGGUGGGGUGACCGGGAUUCGAACCCAGGAUCUCUCGAAGCCUUAACGAAAUCAGCUUGAGUGUCUUAACCAUUUAGACGACCCCCCCGACCUUCUUGUACGCCGUCUGGUGUGCGUACUGGUCCCGCGAGCCUGCUAAGCAGACGUCGGAGCAUGUGGUUCGGGAGGUGGUCAGCGAGCUGCGCAGGGUGAUGCAGCUGCGUUUCACUGCCGCCACGCUAACCCCUGAAACCCUGUCGGCUCUGCCCACACAGCUUCUCACCGCGCAGCUCAAGGCGGCUAAGCUGGAGCACUUUGUUGCCAUCUGGACGGCAGGUGGCGCGCUUUGUGAAGUGGAGGAGGUUCAGGGUGGGUCACCGAAGUUGAACUUGCGGCUGACGCUUGCAUCACCUGUGCAGGCCCCCUGGGUUUCCUUUUGGGCGGCGUUUCUUUCCAAGCGCUGGCGUGGUGUACUAUCGUCAUCAGCUUAUCUGGCGCCCAUGUGUUUUAGCUCUGGCUGGCGUCACAGCGCCUGGGCGGCUGUGGGACUUCCUGCACAGCGCGUCUUGCAGCGGGCUGGAGCCCACUUAUUUAGCGCCACAUCUGGCCCGUUUAGUCUUCUGCUUGUGUCUCCUCUGCCGGUUCUCCUGGGGUGUUGCUUAAGCAACCGACUUGUGGGGGUGGGGUGGGUUUGGGCGGGGCGAGUGCGUAGCGCUGGUGUUUCUUUUUCUGGCGCGCGGUGGUGGUGGUUCUUGCGGUUAGGCUGUGGUGUAGGUUGGUGCUUGGGUUAGGUCUGGCUGUGUUUUUGUGCAACCCCUCCCGGGGGGCGGGGGGGCCAGCCUCCUGCUCUGUCUGCCGGGUCGGGGUGGGGUGGGGUGGGAUGGAUGGGGGUGGUUGUUGGCGGUUUUCGAGGUGUUUGUUUUCUGUUUUUCUUCUCUUUUCUUCUCUUCUUGCCCUGUCAGGGUUCUGGUCUCGGGGACCAGGCUGUCUUCAGGCAGCAGGGGGGCAGCGCGUCUGCCCCUGUUCAACCUUGUAAGGAUGAUCCCUCAAAAAAAAAAAACGCGGCGCGCACACAUUCUGCCUGCAUACCUUUUUGGGCUGAGCCCCCCGAGCGAAGCGAUCCAGGGGGGGGCGAAGCCCCCCAGGAUUGCCCCUGUCCGUGCCUGCCUGCGUGCCUGCCUGCGUCGACAAAAAGUGCCAAUCUGGCGCAAACCGCGAGUGCCACGUAUUAUUAAUUGCUAUUCCCUAUUGUAGAAAAAUAGGCGGCAGGGAAAACUCGGCCGGGGCGAGAAGCGACCUCGUGAGUCCAUGGACAUCUUGACUUUCUUCAGUCCGCGAGUAUAGCUCUCGGCCCCUAAAUAUCUUACAUCCAUGUAUCAAAACAUGUCGACGACAAGCGUCUUGGGGCAAGAAUGUCGAAAUUGUUUGCAACAGCCAAACCAUGCGUCCCCGAGCCUUAAAUGUGUCGCGGCCCGGGAUCCCGCGCCCGAGCCCGGCUAGCCGUUUGCGGUGCUUGAGUGGGAUGUGGGUGAGGUGCAUUUGGGAUAUCAUGGACCGUGAAGUGGCGUGGGUAAGGUGGCGUGGCGUGGCGGGGACAGGGCAUGUCGGUGCCUCGGCACGGCGUUGGCAUAGUGGCUAGUCCCGCUGGAUGGGCUUGCAAGGGUGCUGUUCAUGUCGCCGGUGCCCAUCGUCACAUCCCUUGCGCUUCAUGGGGCUCAGCCCAUUUUCCAGCUGUACAAAGCUGACACCCCUUGUUUUUUUAAAGUCAUCCUUACAAGGUUGCGGUGGUAGACGCACUCCCACCCUACUGCCAAGGCAGCCUGGAACAUAUCACAGAACCUCGAUAGGGCCAGAGAUCAGAGAAGAGAAGAGAAGUUUUUGUUCCACCACACACCUACUGGAAACCUCAACAGCCAGGUGACACCACACACCUACUGGAGUUCUCAACAGCUAGGUGACAACUACAGCCACUGCCAUGACCACACAGAUCAUCUAGAGCUCUCCAGUUGACAGGCCCAGAGCUCCACUUGAAUCUUGGAUCUUGAACUUGAAAGCUCUCCAGUUGCAGGCCCAGAGCUCCAGCCUUGUACCCCAGAGACUCCCUGCACCACAGGGGGGUCUACACACCAACAAGGUGUGGAUGGGUUUUGGUAAACCAGGGCCCUUCCUGGUGGGGUGACCGGGAUACACCUUGCCAUGCACCCCUGCUGGCAAGUGGUAUUGCAACCGCUGCCAGGGCAGUGCUUCCACAGCUGUUGACGUGGAUGCGCCUGUUGUGGAAGCAAGCAGCGGCUGCGAUGAUCCGGAGAUGGAAGCCAUUCUCCGCACAGUGAAUACGGGGGACGCCAGCAGGCAGCUUGUCCGGUUCCGCCAAUACCUGGCGACCGUACGUAGCCCUGGGGGGGUGUCGUUCCACGGGCGAGUGUCAUGAAGGAGCAUCGUCGUGCAGCUGUGCAGCUGCGGCAGCCGGGCAGCAGAACACGCCGGCGAGAGAACUGCAGUCGUAUGCGUCCCCGUCCCAGCACUCGGGUGAGGGGCCGCGGCGUUCCGCGCGGCUGCAGGAGCAGGCGGCGGGCGGGGCGGGGCCUAGCACGGGGCCUGCCACGGCGGCGGCGGCAGCAGCGGCGGCGGUGGCGGGCUAUCACAAGCGGGGGGGGUCGUCUAAAUGGUUAAGACACUCAAGCCGAUUUCGUUAAGGCUUCGAGAGAUCCUGGGUUCGAAUCCCGGUCACCCCACCAGGAAGGGCCCUGGUUUACCAAAACCCAUCCACACCUUGGUGGUGUGUAGACCCCCCCUGUGGUGCAGGGAGUCUCUGGGGUACAAGGCUGGAGCUCUGGGCCUGCAACUGCAGAGCUUUCAAGUUCAAGAUCCAAGAUUCAAGUGGAGCUCUGGGCCUGUCAACUGGAGAGCUCUAGAUGAUCUGUGUGGUCAAGGCCGUGGCUGUAGUUGUCACCUAGCUGUUGAGAACUCCAGUAGGUGUGUGGUGUCACCUAGCUGUUGAGGUCUCCAGUAGGUGUGUGGUGGAACAAACUUCUCUUCUCUUCUCUGAUCUCUGGCCCUAUCGAGGUUCUGUGAUAUGAUCCAGGCUGCCUUGGCAGUAGGGUGGUAGUGCGUCUACCACCGCAACCUUGUAAGGAUGACUUUAAAAAAAAAAAAAACCCUCGCACGCCGCCCCCGGAUGCGUCCCUUCUGCGGGGUACGUGGCGGAGGCUGUGGGACAGCCACGCCAGUCGGGGGGCUAAGGUGCUGGUGUACCGGCUGCAACAUGCUUACCUGCCUUGCGGGCUGUACCGGGCGGGCAAGGGCAUUCGGCCACGGGUGACCACGGGGUGCGGGGGGUUGGGGGCGCACUGUCCUCACCCCGCCUGCGGGCCACCUGGCCCGCGGGCGUGGGCCAGCCUGACACACAUCUUCCUGGAGUGUCCAGCUUAUGCGCAGGCAAGGACGUGGCUACAGCAGCUGUGGGCCUGCGUUGCGCCCCAGGCAGCGGAGCCACCAGUGACGGACGCGGGCUUCAUGCUGGGGGACCGCAUGGGUGUUUUUUUGAGGAAUCAUCCUUACAAGGUUGAACAGGGGCAGACGCACUGCCCCCCUGCUGCCUGAAAGCAGCCCGGUCCCCGAGACCAGAACCCUGAAAGGGCAAGAAGAGAAGAAAAGAGAAGAAAACAGAAAGCAAACACCUCGAAAACGCCAGCAACCACCAAUCCCACCCCAUCCCACCCCGACCCGGCAGACAGAGCAGGAGGCUGGCCCCCCCGCCCCCCGGGAGGGGUUGCACAAAAAACACCGCCAGACCUAACCCAAGCACCAACCUACACCAUAGCCUAACCGCAAGAACCACCACCACCGCGCGCCAGAAGAGAAAACACCAGCGCUACGCACUCGCCCCGCCCAAACCCACCCCACCCCCACAAGUCGGUUGCUUAAGCAACACCCCAGGAGAACCCAGGAGAACCGGCAGAGGAGACACAAGCAGAAAACUAAACGGGCCAGAUGUGGCGCUGACUACGCGGGCUCCAGCCCGCCGCAAGACGCGCUGUGCAGGAAGGCCCACAGCCGCCCAGGCGCUGCGACUCCAGCCAGAGCUAAAACACAUGGGCGCCAGAUAAGCUGAUGACGAUAUCAUGCCACGCCAGCGCCUGGAAAGAAACGCCGCCCAAAAGGAAACCUAGGGGGCCUGCACAGGUGAUGCAAGCGUCAGCCGCAAGUUCAACUUCGGUGACCCACCCUGAACCUCCUCCACUUCACAAAGCGCGCCACCCGCCGUCCAGAUGGCAACAAAGUGCGCCAGCUUAGCCGCCUUGAGCUGUGCGGUGAGAAGCUGUGUGGGCAGAGCCGACAGGGUUUCAGGGGUUAGCGUGGCGGCAGUGAAACGCAGCUGCAUCACCCUGUGCAGCUCGCUGACCACCUCCCGAACCACAUGCUCCGACGUCUGCUUAGCAGGCUCGCGGGACCAGUACGCACACCAGACGGUGUACAAGAAGGUGGCCCGCAAAGUGCUCCACAGCAGCGCGCCCGCCCCCCGCGGGCCUGAGGCCCACAUACCCAUGCGGUCCCCCAGCAUGAAGCCCGCGUCCGUCACUGGUGGCUCCGCUGCCUGGGGCGCAACGCAGGCCCACAGCUGCUGUAGCCACGUCCUUGCCUGCGCAUAAAGCUGGACACUCCAGGAAGAUGUGUGUCAGGCUGGCCCACGCCCGCGGGCCAGGCGGCCCGCAGGCGGGGUGAGGACAGUGCGCCCCCAACCCCCCGCACCCCGUGGUCACCCGUGGCCGAAUGCCCUUGCCCGCCCGGUACAGCCCGCAAGGCAGGUAAGCAUGUUGCAGCCGGUACACCAGCACCUUUGCCCCCCGACUGGCGUGGCUGUCCCACAGCCUCCGCCACGUACCCCGCAGAAGGGACGCAUCCGGGGGCGGCGUGCGAGGGUCGCCCGCCACCGCCACCGCUGCUGCCGCCGCCGCCGUGGCAGGCCCCGUGCUAGGCCCCGCCCCGCCCGCCGCCUGCUCCUGCAGCCUGGCAUGGGUGUGUGGGCCUCCGGGACAAGAGAAGAGAAGUUUGUUCCACCACACACCUACUGGAGACCUCAACAGCUAGGUGACACCACACACCUACUGGAGUUCUCAACAGCUAGGUGACAACUACAACCACGGGCUUGACCACACGGAUCAUCUACAGCUCUCCAGUUGACAGGCCCAGAGCUCCACUUGAAUCUUGGAUCUUGAACUUGAAAGCUCUGCAGUUGCAGGCCCAGAGCUCCAGCCUUGUACCCCAGAGACUCCCUGCACCACAGGGGGGGUCUACACACCACCAAGGUGUGGAUGGGUUUUGGUAAACCAGGGCCCUUCCUGGAGGGGUGACCGGGAUUCGAACCCAGGAUCUCUCGAAGCCUUAACGAAAUCGGCUUGAGUGUCUUAACCAUUUNN